AAGUCUUUUAAGCUAGUCCAGAGAGACUGGGAAAGAUAUCUCAUAGCGUUUUUUUGUUAUGGAAAGAUAAAAUCCUUAUGCCUCUUUUUGUGGUGUAAGGAUUUUUUGUGU
rfam:Clostridium hiranonis DSM 13275 Scfld13 genomic scaffold, whole genome shotgun sequence.